UGGAGGUAUCAGAAGUGCGAAUGCUGACAUAAGUAACGAUAAAGCGGGUGAAAAGCCCGCUCGCCGGAAGACCAAGGGUUCCUGUCCAACGUUAAUCGGGGCAGGGUGAGUCGACCCCUAAGGCGAGGCCGAAAGGCGUAGUCGAUGGGAAACGGGUUAAUAUUCCCGUACUUGGUGUUACUGCGAAGGGGGGACGGAGAAGGCUAUGUUGGCCGGGCGACGGUUGUCCCGGUUUAAGCGUGUAGGUGUGUGUUCCAGGUAAAUCCGGUUCACUUUAACACUGAGGCGUGACGACGAGGCACUACGGUGCUGAAGCAACAAAUGCCCUGCUUCCAGGAAAAGCCUCUAAGCAUCAGGUAACAUCAAAUCGUACCCCAAACCGACACAGGUGGUCAGGUAGAGAAUACCAAGGCGCUUGAGAGAACUCGGGUGAAGGAACUAGGCAAAAUGGUGCCGUAACUUCGGGAGAAGGCACGCUGACACGUAGGUGAAGUGAUUUACUCAUGGAGCUGAAGUCAGUCGAAGAUACCAGCUGGCUGCAACUGUUUAUUAAAAACACAGCACUGUGCAAACACGAAAGUGGACGUAUACGGUGUGACGCCUGCCCGGUGCCGGAAGGUUAAUUGAUGGGGUCAGCGCAAGCGAAGCUCCUGAUCGAAGCCCCGGUAAACGGCGGCCGUAACUAUAACGGUCCUAAGGUAGCGAAAUUCCUUGUCGGGUAAGUUCCGACCUGCACGAAUGGCGUAAUGAUGGCCAGGCUGUCUCCACCCGAGACUCAGUGAAAUUGAACUCGCUGUGAAGAUGCAGUGUACCCGCGGCAAGACGGAAAGACCCCGUGAACCUUUACUAUAGCUUGACACUGAACAUUGAGCCUUGAUGUGUAGGAUAGGUGGGAGGCUUUGAAGUGUGGACGCCAGUCUGCAUGGAGCCGACCUUGAAAUACCACCCUUUAAUGUUUGAUGUUCUAACGUGGACCCGUUACCCGGGUUGCGGACAGUGUCUGGUGGGUAGUUUGACUGGGGCGGUCUCCUCC
rnacentral:rRNA from 1 species